rnacentral:lncRNA from 1 species
UUAGAGUCAAGAAAGACAUCAGAGUUCAAAAAAGACUACCAACCAACAAGAUUCUCACAUUGAUAACAUAAUAUGAUUGAUGAAUUGGCACACUCUUGUAAGACAACGAUGCUGUUUUAUAUGAGAUCAUUUUGAGGUACCGUGCAUUUUAAUGAUCUUUGCUAUAUGUAGAGCCUUCCAUUAGAACAUUCAUGUUCUGCAUUAUCCCAUUGAUCUUUGCUAAAUGUAGAGCCAUUAAUGCUCAAAUGAUGUUGUUGAUAACAAUAACAAUAUGUUAUAAUCGUUGAGAUGAUGAUUGCAAUUAGUCCCAUGACAUGGGGAACUAGGUAGAUGCGACUGUGAACAUGUAUUUGUGCAUAACUGUGAGCAUUGACACAUUGUGACAUUUGCAUCAUGACAUAGAUGUUGAUAUGUUACAAACGAUGAGACAAUAGAAGUCAUGAAGGGUGAUUCCCCCAGUCUUGGAGCUAUGUGAUUUGUGUGGAGGUCUCAGAGGGCUAGGACUCACAGUCCAUACACGAGGUGUUCGUCGUGACCAAACCUAGUCAUUAAAAAUAACUAGGUGUGAAAACAUACUCAGGGACUCAAAGUUUGUGUUGUUAGAUGUUGUCUACGACUCAAAUAGUGCAUCAACAUCAGAUGGCUAGGACUUACAAGCCAUUAGAUGUUGAUGCAAUGGAACAAUUUCCUUUGGAUGUUUUAACUGACCCCUGGAUUUUAUAACCUAUGGUUUGUUUGGUUAUAAUGCAACAUGACCCUGAGGUAUUACUUUGAAAUAACGUUUAUUUCACAAUUAAUUCGAUGUAUGUCUAUUUUAUUGGUGGCAUUUAGGGUGGGUAGGAGGAAUUCUUUCCUACCAUGAGAAAGUUAAGCUUGACCAUUAGAUUAAGUAGUGACCACAUUCUUAUCAUAGACUCUCAAC